rnacentral:rRNA from 1 species
AUAUGAGGCCUCGUAAUCGGAAUGAGUACACUUUAAAUACUUUAACGAGGAACAAUUGGAGGGCAAGUCUGGUGCCAGCAGCCGCGGUAAUUCCAGCUCCAAUAGCGUAUACUAAAAUUGUUGCGGUUAAAAAGCUCGUAGUUGCACCUGUGCGCCGCGCUGUCGGUGCACCGCAUCCGCGGUGACCACUGGCACGUCGCGGGGCAUCGCGUCGGUGAGACUCCGGUAAAACGGAGGCUCAAUUGAAACGAUCCUAUCGCGGUGCUCUUAACCGAGUGUCGAGGUGGGCCGACAAUACUUACUUUGAACAAAUUAGAGUGCUCAAAGCGGGCUAAAAACGCCGCUCGAAUAUUUUUUGCAUGGAAUAAUGGAAUACGACCUCGGUUCUAUUUUGUUGGUUCUCGGAAUCCGAGGUAAUGAUCAAUAGGAACAACUGGGGGCAUUCGUAUUGCGACGUUAGAGGUGAAAUUCUUGGAUCGUCGCAAGACGGACUACAGCGAAAGCAUUUGCCAAAGGUGUUUUCAUCAAUCAAGAACGAAAGUUAGAGGUUCGAAGGCGAUUAGAUACCGCCCUAGUUCUAACCAUAAACGUUGCCACCUGGCGAUCCGCCGACGUUACUAUAAUGGCUCGGCGGGCGGCCUCCGGGAAACCAAAGUUUUUGGGCUCCGGGGGGAGUAUGGUUGCAAAGCUGAAACUUAAAGGAA